GCCGUAAACGAUGUCUACUUGGAGGUUGUGCCCUUGAGGCGUUGGCUUUCCGGAGCUGAACGCCGGUUCAAGUGAGAGCCGACCUGGGGGAAGUAACGGCCGCGAAGUUGAAAACUCAAAUGAAAUUGAUUGCAGGGGGCCCGCACAAGCGGUGGAGCAUGUGGUUUAAUUCGAUGCAACGCGAAGAACCUUACCUGGUCUUGACAUCCACAGAACUUUCCAGAGAUGGAUUGGUGCCUUCGGGAACUGUGAGACAGGUGCUGCAUGGCUGUCGUCAGCUCGUGUUGUGAAAUGUUGGGUUAAGUCCCGCAACGAGCGCAACCCUUAUCCUUUGUUGCCAGCGGUCCGGCCGGGAACUCAAAGGAGACUGCCAGUGAUAAACUGGAGGAAGGUGGGGAUGACGUCAAGUCAUCAUGGCCCUUACGACCAGGGCUACACACGUGCUACAAUGGCGCAUACAAAGAGAAGCGACCUCGCGAGAGCAAGCGGACCUCAUAAAGUGCGUCGUAGUCCGGAUUGGAGUCUGCAACUCGACUCCAUGAAGUCGGAAUCGCUAGUAAUCGUGGAUCAGAAUGCCACGGUGAAUACGUUCCCGGGCCUUGUACACACCGCCCGUCACACCAUGGGAGUGGGUUGCAAAAGAAGUAGGUAGCUUAACCUUCGGGAGGGCGCUUACCACUUUGUGAUUCAUGACUGGGGUGAAGUCGUAACAAGGUAACCGUAGGGGAACCUGCGGUUGGAUCACCUCCUUACCUGAAAGAAGC
rnacentral:rRNA from 1 species